rnacentral:lncRNA from 1 species
UUUCAAAGCCAGUAACAGUCAUAAAACACACCCACAGUGUGUGGCCUUUGAGCAAUGACAGUCCCACUGGCCUCUUUCCAUACCUGUUGGCUUCUGAAUUCCUUCUCAGGACUGCUCCGCAAUCCUUCCACUGUGGAGUUUAAGCCCCUGUAACCAUCUUCAUCUCCAGCUGCCUGCGAGGACCCUGACUGGAAGGCACCUCCUCACUCUGAAUGCUCCGGGUGGCACCUUUGCCUAUUUCCAUAACUAUAAUAGCUCACACUGAUGCAGCACUCACUAUGCACCAGGCACUGUCCUAAGGGGUUUUCAGAAUUCAAAGAAACAAAGGAUGACGGCUUCUAACAGAAAUAACCAUACAAGCUUCAAUGAAGGGACAGGGACUGAAAUAAGCCUCAGGAUGAAGAACAACUUAGGAGGUGAACAGGCAGAGAAGGAUACAAAUCUUCAGAAACGUGAAGUAACUUUCCAAGAUUGGUGGUGGAUCUGGGAAUAGAAACUACGUGUAUCUAACUCCAGAGCCCAUGUCAUGACCAUUACCACUGACAGAGAACUGAA